rnacentral:lncRNA from 1 species
CCACCUGUUUGUAAAGCCUCAGGCAUUAUUGUUUAUAGAAAUAGGUCACAUAUUAUGCCACAGGUUCUGGUGACGGACAAUGAAACAAAGUAAUUUACAAAGUCCUCUGCCCUGUGUCCUACAUUUGAAGCAAUUCAUUGCUUGGUGAAUGGCAGAAGCUAUUAUGUUUCGUUCACAUCUGAAUGUGGGUCAUUUGCAGAAACCUAGCAGGCGACAUUUCUUUUAAAGCUAAAAAGGACAAGUGUGAACAUUUAGCUAAUAUAGUAUUUUAAGGGUCAUGAAAAAGAUGGGAUCUAUAACUUUAAAUAGCUCUAAAUUCAAAACAUAUAUAAACACGAAGAAGAAUUAAGUAUGAUUGCUUAUUUCUAACACUGACACUUACAAAUGAGUUUAGCAGGAUAGCUUUAUACAUAUUGCAGUCAAUGUGUUUAUGAUUUAAGUUAGAAAACUACUUAACAUACGGGUACAAAUGCAUUAGACUAUUGCAAGUAUAGUUCUGAACAGACCGUCUGUAAAUAGUCAAGCUUCUCCUAGAGCGACAGGCAUAUGCUUGCCAAAUUCAUUCAUUCAUUUUUUUAAUCUUUUAAAAAUGUCUCUGCAAUCCACAUAUUCUUUGGCAGAGUUGUUGAAUAUUUUCAAUGAAGUGUGUGACACUAAAGUGUUUAUAUGUGCAGAGAAAGCUUUCGUUGGCCUUCUAGAAACCCUUGAGUACUCAAGUGUUAUUCUGUUUAAUAAACUUAUUCUGUUUAAUAGUAGUUAAAAUCCAAAUGGCUUUGGUAUAAAAUUGUACUAAAUAGAGAAAAAGAGAAAUUCAACGAAGGCAUAAAGAAGAGAAAUAAAGAAGGAAAAGUAAUUCUAGCAGAAAAAAAAAUUCAGAAAAUAAAAAUGCACACAGUGGAAAGUAGUGAAAACCCCCCAAACACACACCCGCAUCCCCAUGUCCAGAGACAGUCCUAUCAUGAGUUUCCAGUUAUGAAGUGUAUAUCUUUCAAUGUCUGUGUCGUCUCAUGUUUGUAAGGAAACAACUGCCUUCUCCAUCGACUCCUCUUUCAUAAAUUUACUGUUAUUCACGUAUGCCUAUCAAAUGCCAAGUGCUUGGCAAGUGUAAUUAGUGGGGGAUUGAUAGGUGAAGAAUCCUGGAAAGAGAUGGAAAGGUGCCUUCGUGACAGAGGGAUGGGGAGGUCACGGAGUGUUAAGGUUGUCUAAUAUGGGAAAGGUAUGGCCCCAAUGAUGAGACCUCAUGUUUGUAAGAGCAAUAGGAAGCCAUAAAGGCAAGAAGUGAUUGCCUACAGAUAGAAUGAGAUGAACAAGUUCAAGGGUUAAGGAACUGCCAGAACCUGGAGAAGGUGGAGGUGGAGGGUGAGGGGGUAUUUAAGGACACCUCCCAGCUUCCUCCCUCCUUCCCUUGGGAUGGAUGACCUUGGCAUUUACGGAGCUAAGCAAUCAUUUUCUCCUCCCUUCCCUCCCUCCCUCCCUUCAUUCCUCCUUCCUCCCUUCCUAAAUGGAUAGGAAGAUCUCAACAUUUACUGAGACAGGAAACCCUACAGGAAGAGGUGAUCUGGAGAAGAAGACAAUGGGUUUCUUCUCAGACUGUCAAUAUUGAAGUCCCAUUGAUACCCAGAGUUGUCAAAAUUCUUUUUGUUCGUUUGUUUUUUGUUUUUUGCUUUUUGCUUUUUGUUUUAGUUUUGCUUUGUAUGGCCACUCCUGCAGCAUAUGAAAUUCCCAGGCGAGGGGUCAAAUUGGAGCUGCAGCUGCCAACCUACGCCAAAGCCACAGCAACUGGGGAUCCAAGCCACAUCUGCAACUUACACCACAGCUCAUGGCAAUGCUGGAUCCUCAACCCCCAGAGCGAGGCCAAGGAUCGAAAACCCAAUCCUCAUGGAGAUUGGUUGGGUUCGUUAACUGCUGAGCCUCAACAGGAACCCCAAGAGUUGUCAAAGUUGAUAGAGAGUUCUAAAUUGAUUAACUCACCAGAGAGAUGGGGUGUGAGGAACAGAGAGAGGAUACCGAUGGGCUUUCAGCAAAUGCGUCACCGGUGAAUUGACCUGGACCCAAAGCAAUGAGUCAUUUUGAUUACAAUCCUUCGGUUUCUAGAACUGAUGCAAGGUAGCAUCCAAAUUCUUUUCAACAGGUCUGUUCCUAUACAAGCAUGUCCUCUUGUGCAUAGUCCUGUUCUGCCUAUCAGGGCAUAGGGUGCCAAGAACUAAGGGACAGUUGAAGAAGGGUGAAAAUUAUUUAGCUAUGUAUUAACUAGAUAGUAUUUAGAACUUUUUCCUUUAUGUGGUAAAUAAUACUUUCCUUUAGUGAGGAACAUUGUAAAGAAGAUUGAUUCAGAAGUGGAAAAUCUUUGAUUAUCUUAUGCACAUUCCCUAGACAAUGAAUAUGCUCAUAGUAUUCUCAUCAAGAUCUAUCUUUAAAUUAUUUCCAUCUAAAUUAAUUUUCCUAAGUAAUAAAUGACAGCAGCUAAAACUUAUAAGGCUAUUUGGAACUAUUAAGACAAUGAUUAAGAAUAUAUCAUCACCCCGAAAACUAAUUAACUCGAGCACCAGCCUUUUGGGUUUGUGUACAGCUUCCAGGAAUAUAAAAGCUUAAACAAAUCUAACUGACAUUUAAACUGUGGUGUCUCAUUCUCCGCGUAUUAUAAAGAAAUAUGUGCACAGCCUAUAGAUCUUUUGGACUAUUUAGAUAAAGAAUUUAGAAUUAAGGGAUUCAUAUAAAAUCAAGAGAGGCUUUACUCGGAAGGGUUAUAAGGAGUGAUGCAAAGCCAAAUUUGCAGUAAACAUUCUGAGAGUUACAGGUGGUCCUCGUAAUUUCUCCCUAAUGCCACAACUCCUAUAAAGGGCCAUCUAUAAAAUUUGGUGUAAAGGUAAAUUUUUUUUCUUUUUCCUUUUCUUUUUUUCUCUUUUUACAGCUGUACCUAUGGCAUAUGGAUCCCUGGACUCGGUGUUGAAUCCGAGCUGCAGCUACCAGCCUUGGCCACAGCCACAGCAACAUUGCAACGCCCAACCCUUAACCCACUGAAUGAGGCCAGGGAUCCAACCCCCAUCCUCACAGACACUACGUCUGGUUCUUAACUUGCUGAGCCACAUUGGGAACUCCCAAAAAGUAAAUUACUAAAAAGUAUCUCUAGAAAAAAAAAGCUCUAUGACAUACAAAACAUAAACUGAUGAAUUAAAACCACUUAAAAUCAAAGCCAGUGAGAUAAAGUGGCAAAACAGUUAGUAUCAGAAGAUAAUGCAAACUUACAGAACAGAUGAGUAGAAUAAAAAAUAAAAGUUCUUGCUGUGGCGUGAGGGGAUUGGCGGCACCUCUGCAGCACCAGGAUGCAGGUUCAAUUCUCAGCCCUGCACAGUGGGUUAAGGAUCUAGCAUUGCUGCAGCUGUGGCUUAGAUAUCAACAGUGGCUCAGAUCUAAUCCCUCGCCUGGGAACUUCCAUAUGUGG